GUGGGGAAUUUUGGACAAUGGGGGCAACCCUGAUCCAGCCAUGCCGCGUGCGGGAAGAAGGCCUUCGGGUUGUAAACCGCUUUUGUCAGGGAAGAAAUCCUUUGGGUUAAUACCUCGGAGGGAUGACGGUACCUGAAGAAUAAGCACCGGCUAACUACGUGCCAGCAGCCGCGGUAAUACGUAGGGUGCGAGCGUUAAUCGGAAUUACUGGGCGUAAAGCGUGCGCAGGCGGUUUUGUAAGAUCGAUGUGAAAUCCCCGGGCUCAACCUGGGAACUGCAUUGGUGACUGCAAGGCUGGAGUGCGGCAGAGGGGGAUGGAAUUCCGCGUGUAGCAGUGAAAUGCGUAGAUAUGCGGAGGAACACCGAUGGCGAAGGCAGUCCCCUGGGCCUGUACUGACGCUCAUGCACGAAAGCGUGGGGAGCAAACAGGAUUAGAUACCCGUGUAGUCC
rnacentral:rRNA from 1 species